rnacentral:rRNA from 1 species
AACGAACGCUGGCGGCAGGCUUAACACAUGCAAGUCGAGCGCCCCGCAAGGGGAGCGGCAGACGGGUGAGUAACGCGUGGGAAUGUACCCUUCUCUACGGAAUAACACAGAGAAAUUUGUGCUAAUACCGUAUACGCCCUCCGGGGGAAAGAUUUAUCGGAGAAGGAUCAGCCCGCGUAGGAUUAGCUAGUUGGUGUGGUAAUGGCGCACCAAGGCGACGAUCCUUAGCUGGUCUGAGAGGAUGAUCAGCCACAUUGGGACUGAGACACGGCCCAAACUCCUACGGGAGGCAGCAGUGGGGAAUAUUGGACAAUGGGCGCAAGCCUGAUCCAGCCAUGCCGCGUGAGUGAUGAAGGCCUUAGGGUUGUAAAGCUCUUUCACCCGGGACGAUAAUGACGGUACCGGGAGAAGAAGCCCCGGCUAACUUCGUGCCAGCAGCCGCCGUAAUAC